UACGUAGGGGGCAAGCGUUGUCCGGAAUUAUUGGGCGUAAAGCGCGCGCAGGCGGUCCUUUAAGUCUGAUGUGAAAGCCCCCGGCUCAACCGGGGAGGGUCAUUGGAAACUGGGGAACUUGAGUGCAGAAGAGAAGAGCGGAAUUCCACGUGUAGCGGUGAAAUGCGUAGAGAUGUGGAGGAACACCAGUGGCGAAGGCGGCUCUUUGGUCUGUAACUGACGCUGAGGCGCGAAAGCGUGGGGAGCAAACAGGAUUAGAAACCCCAGUAGUCC
rnacentral:rRNA from 1 species